CCUACGGGAGGCAGCAGUAGGGAAUCUUCCGCAAUGGACGAAAGUCUGACGGAGCAACGCCGCGUGAACGAUGAAGGCCUUCGGGUCGUAAAGUUCUGUUGUUAGGGAAGAACAAGUGCUAGUUGAAUAAGCUGGCACCUUGACGGUACCUAACCAGAAAGCCACGGCUAACUACGUGCCAGCAGCCGCGGUAAUACGUAGGUGGCAAGCGUUGUCCGGAAUUAUUGGGCGUAAAGCGCGCGCAGGCGGUUUCUUAAGUCUGAUGUGAAAGCCCCCGGCUCAACCGGGGAGGGUCAUUGGAAACUGGGAAACUUGAGUGCAGAAGAGGAAAGUGGAAUUCCAAGUGUAGCGGUGAAAUGCGUAGAGAUUUGGAGGAACACCAGUGGCGAAGGCGACUUUCUGGUCUGUAACUGACGCUGAGGCGCGAAAGCGUGGGGAGCAAACAGGAUUAGAUACCCUGGUAGUCCACGCUGUAAACGAUGAGUGCUAAGUGUUAGAGGGUUUCCGCCCUUUAGUGCUGAAGUUAACGCAUUAAGCACUCCGCCGUCGGGAGGUACGGUCGGCGAAGACGUAGAAACGUUAAAACGGUAAAGUUAGUACGGCGUGAGACGUGCCGAACGGACGACCGACGAGGGGAGGUAGG
rnacentral:rRNA from 1 species